rnacentral:rRNA from 1 species
UACAGAGGGUGCGAGCGUUGUUCGGAAUUAUUGGGCGUAAAGGGCGCGUAGGCGGUGCGGUAAGUCACCUGUGAAAUCUCCUGGCUCAACUGGGAGCUUGCAGGCGAAACUGCCGUGCUGGAGUGUGGGAGAGGUGAGUGGAAUUCCCGGUGUAGCGGUGAAAUGCGCAGAUAUCAGGAGGAACACCGGUGGCGAAGGCGGGUCUCUGGGCCGAUACUGACGCUGAGGAGCGAAAGCGUGGGGAGCGAACAGG